UACGAAGGGGGCUAGCGUUGUUCGGAUUUACUGGGCGUAAAGGGUGCGUAGGUGGUUUGAUAAGUUAAAUGUGAAAGCCCCGGGCUUAACCUGGGAAUGGCGUUUAAUACUGUUAAACUAGAGUAUUGGAGAGGAAAGUGGAAUUUCCGGUGUAGCGGUGAAAUGCGUAGAUAUCGGAAGGAACAUCAGUGGCGAAGGCGACUUUCUGGCCAAAUACUGACACUGAGGCACGAAAGCAUGGGGAGCAAACAGG
rnacentral:rRNA from 1 species